AAAUACAAUCUCCUAAGUAAUAUUUACUUAUUGUUCGCCAUCUAAUCAAAUCACACCAACAAAUGAACAACUCAAGUAAAAUAUACUCAGUACAGCAAGAUAAUUGAUGCGCAUGCGUAUUUGACUUCGAGUCUGAAGUGGCGCGGACAGAGGAAAGGAAGGGAGACUUCAGGACGGCUAAUUUGAAUUUUACCACGAUAUUUCACCCACUAUUCAAGCUAAUGCAAGAUAAAAAAUUAUUUCAGAAGAAUCACCACAAUUUCCUUGGAGCGUACAUUCUUGUAAAAGCUGGACUUCUAUACCCCCAAACUCCUGGCUUUGUUUGAGAUGAGGGGUGGGGUUGCUGGCAUAAGAAUUAAACAUUUGCUGGAUUCACUGAGCUAGCAAGAAGAUAGCCUUGAAGAUAGGUGAGACGUUGUGAUUCGCUGCCUCCUAUCUUUCCUGGGAGAAUCAGCUAAGGAGCUCAUUGAAGACCACCAGGAUAUCAGCAGAGACAUGAUUAAGGAUACCUUAUUCAGUCAUGUCUUUAAAAUCAUCGUACUGAGCAG